UUGAAAGGUGAAAGCGUUUUAGAUUCCAAUGAAACAAUGCGAACAGUAUCCUUCUUAGAGUGAACAUCUACCAUUGCCCUUUAGCUUAUGGCUUGUUGAGAUAUGCCUCCUGAAUCAGUUUUUAGUAGCGCAGAAAUAUCUAUUGAUUGUCCUUUCUAAACCUGCAAUUGCGUAUUGAGAAGAGAUGUCACACUCGCUCAGUUUGCUCAAUUAAAAAUUUUAAAUAGCAAUGUUUACGAGGUAAAUAUGACUUCUUUACAGUCUACAAGCUGCAACAUGCGGCUCAGAUUAUAUCUGCCCGUUAUUCGAGUAUCCGGAGCAAGACUGCGUGGGAAGCAUCGUGUUCAUGCUUCACACACCGCAGUACCUUCAACGCACUCAGUGGCGAGCACAGCAACAACUUCUGCUAACGAUGCUUGAUUCAUCGAUCGUUUGAAGUUUGCUUUUAGCUCUCGGGGAGAUUUAAUGGGUGCUUCAAUUUCAUGCUUAAGAAUGCGGUCGUUUUUAGGUGCUCAGGAGCGCGCAAUUACCGCCAGUGUCACCGUCAUCGCAGCUGCUCCACCCAUGCUGUAAAACAAUAAUGCCCACACAGUCACUCCCCCAUUGCACCACAUAUCACACCAACCUUCAGAGUUGAAUACAUUUUCCAGUGAGCACAAUCCCGACUAUAAACGUCUUCUCGAUUCGCACGGACUCCGCUCUGUACAGGAGUCUGGAGAAAUUUGGACUUAAAAUGAACCAUUUGAUAGGUUCCAAUAACUACAGAAUUGUUCCCUUAAGAGCAGGCCAUCGAAGGCACCCAUCUAUUAACAUGAGAGAUAUAUUGGUCUCGUCAAUGCUGGCUCACCUGCUCUACACCUUUAAUUGAUCUUUACACAAGGGUCAAAGCAA
rnacentral:lncRNA from 1 species